GACAGAGGGGGCAAGCGUUGCUCGGAAUUACUGGGCGUAAAGCGUGCGCAGGCGGUUCGUUAAGUCAGAUGUGAAAGCCCCGGGCUCAACCUGGGAACUGCGCUUGUUACUGGCAGGCUUGAGUGUGGCAGAGGGGGGUGGAAUUCCACGUGUAGCAGUGAAAUGCGUAGAGAUGUGGAGGAACACCGAUGGCGAAGGCAGCCCCCUGGGCUAACACUGACGCUCAUGCACGAAAGCGUGGGGAGCAAACAGG
rnacentral:rRNA from 1 species